CCCUUAGAUGUCCUGGGCCGCACGCGCGCUACACUGACAUGUUCAACAAGUUUCUCCUAGUUCGACAGGACUGGGAAAUCUUUGAACGCAUGUCGUGAUAGGGAUAGAUCAUUGCAAUUAUUGAUCUUGAACGAGGAAUUCCUAGUAAGCGCGAGUCAUCAGCUCGCAUUGAUUACGUCCCUGCCCUUUGUACACACCGCCCGUCGCACCUACCGAUUGAAUGUUUCGGUGAAGAUUCCGGAUAGGACUGAUUUGAUUUAUUUCAUUUCUGACCUAAAAGCUAUCUAAACCUCAACAUUUAGAGGAAGGUGAAGUCGUAACA
rnacentral:rRNA from 1 species